AGAACAGGUAGUAGAGCAGGAAGUAGAGGAGGAAGUAGAACAGGAAGUAGAACAGGAAGUAGAGCAGUAAGUAGAGGAGGAAGUAGAGCAGGUAGUAGAGCAGGAAGUAGAGGAGGAAGUAGAACAGGAAGUAGAACAGGAAGUAGAGCAGGAAGUAGAGCAGUAAGUAGAGGAGGAAGUAGAGCAGGUAGUAGAACAGGAAGUAGAGCAGGAAGUAGAGCAGGAAGUAGAGCAGGAAGUAGAGCAGGUAGUAGAACAGGAAGUAGAGCAGGAAGUAGAGCAGGAAGUAGAGCAGGUAGUAGAGCAGGAAGUAGAACAGGUAGUAGAGCAGGAAGUAGAGCAGGAAGUAGAGGAGGAAGUAGAACAGGAAGUAGAACAGGAAGUAGAGCAGUAAGUAGAGGAGGAAGUAGAGCAGGUAGUAGAACAGGAAGUAGAGCAGGAAGUAGAGCAGGAAGUAGAGCAGGAAGUAGAGCAGGUAGUAGAGCAGGAAGUAGAGCAGGAAGUAGAGCAGGUAGUAGAACAGGUAGUAGAGCAGGAAGUAGAGGAGGAAGUAGAACAGGAAGUAGAACAGGAAGUAGAGCAG